ACUUUUUGCUCAUAAAAGUUUCUAUCCUGGUUGUUCAUACAUUUAAAAAUGAAGAAACUAAAUUUUUCAACAAAAAUACUAUCGUAUAAUUAAGCUAUACAGUUUAUGCAUUGUUUCCGAGAAAUUAGCAAAUCGUACUUUUUUAAAUGUGUAAUUGAAUGCGACGGCAAUGCAGCUAUAGCAGACUACUGCUGAGUUCUGAUUUUAAGCAGACAGACAAAUGUCACAGAAUGUCACAAAUAUAAAAAACUUGUCUGACGAAAACUUACAGGAUAUUUGUAGAAAAACGAAAUAACUUACCAACGUUCAAGACUUCCUCAUCACAUUGCCAGUUCGGUACCUAUAGACAAGUGGAUGAAAAAUUGAAAUGACGAAGAAUUUCCAGUUGGUUGAUUUGGCGUGGGAACUCGGAGUGACUGCUGCUUCUAGCUGUGAGGAACAAGUGGGUCAAACUUAUGUCAGAAUCAAAAUGAAGCUAAAUACGGGAUCAUCAUUAGAAACAACUGUGAUGGAAUUAACUCUUAAACAGUUUUAUGAUCUUCUUCAUGAGCUAGAAAAGGCUCAAAACAACAUGAAAUAAAGGAAAAUUGUAAUGGCAAAGAAGUGUAAAUGUGAUGUAAAUAAAGUGAAAAAGAAAUACAACAUUGAUUUUUUUGCAAAAUGUA